rnacentral:rRNA from 1 species
AUGCUUUUGGACGCCAUGAUGAUGGAAGCCAGGAAGGGGUUGAUGGAGAGGGAGAGGGAGAGAGACCAGUUCCCCGUCGGCAUGCGGGUCCUCGCCGUCGACGAUGACCCCGUGUGCCUCAAGGUUCUGGAGGUCCUCCUACGCCGCUGCCAGUAUCAUGUAACAACCACCAACCAAGCUGCUACUGCACUGAGGCUGUUAAGGGAGAACAAGGACAUGUUUGAUCUGGUGAUCAGUGACGUUCACAUGCCCGACAUGGACGGCUUCAAGCUCCUCGAGCUCGUGGGGCUUGAAAUGGACCUCCCCGUCAUUAUGUUAUCAGUGAACGGAGAGACUAAAUCUGUGCUCAAGGGGAUAACUCAUGGUGCCUGUGACUAUCUCCUAAAGCCCGUUCGCAUCGAAGAGCUCCGGAACGUGUGGCAGCACGUUGUGAGGAGAAAGUUCAGCAACCGUGAGCCGAACAAUCUUGAUUUCUGCAAGGAGAUCAGCAAGGACUCAUACCACCGGCUCGGCCAGGCGACCUGUGACAGGUCGUCUGACCAGAGCAACAGGGCCAGCAAGAAGAGGAAGGAACUGCACAGCGAGGAGGAAGACGAAGGCGAGGACAACGACGAUGCCUCGGCGGCGUCGAAGAAGCCGAGGGUGGUGUGGUCAGCGGAGCUGCACCGGAAGUUCGUCGCUGCCGUCAACCAGCUCGGGAUCGACAAGGCUGUACCUAAAAGAAUACUCGAGCUUAUGAACGUCGAGAAGCUCACCCGGGAAAAUGUCGCGAGUCAUCUGCAGAAGUACAGGCUAUACCUCAGACGGCUAAGUGCUGUGGCAUCACAACAAGCCAGCAUUGCUGCUGCCUUUGGAGGCAGAGACCCCUUUGAAGGACUUCAUAGUUAUCAUCAACCCUUUGCCCCUUCUUUGAAUCCACAUGGACUGCUCAGUGGUGCUGGUGCAGCAACAUUUGAGCUUCAGGACUUUGUUCCUUCUAAGGCAAUUCAGUGUGCUAGCAGCAUUGGUGCAGUAAGUCAUUGCGCCGGCGAUACAAACAAAUUUAACAUUGUGAGCUUACAAGACAACCAACAGGCAGAUCUAACGCAAGGCUUGACCACGUCGUCACUUGGGCAGCCCCGGCUCCAGCAGACGUGGAUCCAUCAAGAAACCAAUGACCUGUGCUCUGUCUUUUCUGGGGGUGCUCAGGCCAACACUAUGUCUGGCACAUUCCAGAGAAUUACAAGCAGUUCACUGGCACCAGAAGAUCUUUUGGAGUGCACUCCACAUAUCAAACUAGGAGCCCAUCCAUCCAUAGGAAUAUCUCAGCAGGGUGCUCUUCCAAUUAGUGAUGGAUUUUCUGUUGACAAGUUACCGUUGCACAUCCCGUUCGAUGGUGCUGACACUGGCUUUUUGGCUCGAGAACCAAAGAUGGACCAAAAGGGGAUAUUUUCAGAAAGAAUGAAUGUUAGAGUUUGUCCUUCGGAGAGCCUCAUAGCAGCCAACAAUGCUAAAUGUGGAGCCAGUUCUUCUGGUAGUACAAUGCUGCUCCCUCCUGAUACCGAGAGACAUUCAGAAUACUUGCAGUUUGGGGCUGCAAGCAACUCUAGACAUAGAAUGGAUGGAGUGAGAGAAGACCAAUGCCUGAACAAUGCAGAUUUUAGCUAUGAUGGUGGUGCCAUUGUGCCUGAACAGACCCAUAUGGAUGAUUUGGGAAUUCCAAAGCUGCAGGGUGGGUUCAAUUCUAGCAGCUGCAACUUUGAUGGCCUUCUCAAUUCCAUAAUACAAGUGGAGAACCCACAUGUCAUGACGAUACUCCCGCUCUAG